UCUAUACCCACUGCAGCCCCUCACCGGUUGCCCUGAACGCCUGCCUGCCUGCCUCUCUACCUACCUGCCUGCCGGGUAGGAUAUAACCGGUAGUCGUAAAGUUGUCCUGAACCGCCAACGGCUUUGGAGAGAGAAGUCUGCUUGGAAGUCACGCUCUUCUGGAGGUAAGGUGUCUUCUUCCACCGUCUGCCCCGGCCUGCCACGCCACCACCCGGCUACGUGGAUUCGUUCUGGCUCACCGUCUUGCCUCCGUUGAGCACGGCCGAGGCGCUCCGGGACUUGGUGGGCGUGCCGCUGCCGGAGCGCGAGAACUCUGUCAGGUCGUGGAGGGAGGGUUCCCUGUACAUGGCCACUGUGGGACAGACGGACAGGAGAAUGCACCUUAACACACGGAUGGGUCAAAUUAAAGGCCGUGGGCUGAGAUUCGUGGACUGGAACCAGAGCGAAGAGGAGAGGGGGAGCGAGGAGCGGCUGGUGGAGAUGGUUGAAAUGCAGAGACGGCUCCUUAAUUGGUCGGCUGGUAUUGCUGCUGCCUCUGGAUCUUUAUGGGCUGCUGGAACAAAUGCUUUUUUUUUUCUCUCCCCCUCUUUAUUCUCUCUCCCUCUCUUUAUUCUCUCUCCCUCUCUUUAUUCUCUCUCACUCUCUUUAUUCUCUCUCACUCUCUUU